GAUGAAGAACGUAGCGAAAUGCGAUACGUAAUGUGAAUUGCAGAUUUCAGUGAAUCAUCGAAUCUUUGAACGCACAUUGCGCCCGCUAGUAUUCUGGCGGGCAUGCCUGUUCGAGCGUCAUUUCAACCAUCAAGCCCCCGGCUUGCGUUGGAGCCCUGCGGCUGCCGCAGGCUCCCAAAUCCAGUGGCGGGCUCGUCGUCGUACCGAGUGCAGUAAACAUCCUCGCUCAGGGAACGUGACGGGUUCUUGCCGUGAAACCCCCCACAUAUCAAGGUUGACCUCGGAUCAGGUAGGAAUACCCGCUGAACUUAAGCAUAUCAAUAAGCGGAGGA
rnacentral:misc_RNA from 1 species